rnacentral:misc_RNA from 1 species
GAUUGAAGAACGCAGCGAAAUGCGAUAAGUAAUGUGAAUUGCAGAAUUCAGUGAAUCAUCGAAUCUUUGAACGCACAUUGCGCCCCUUGGUAUUCCGAGGGGCAUGCCUGUUCGAGCGUCAUUAUAACCCCUCAAGCUCAGCUUGGUGUUGGGGCCUGCUGCACUGGCAGCCCUUAAAAUCAGUGGCGGCGCCAUCUGGCUCUAAGCGUAGUAAUUCUUCUCGCUAUGGAGUCCUGGUGGAUGCUUGCCAUCAACCCCCAAUUUUUCUAUGGUUGACCUCGGAUCAGGUAGGGAUACCCGCUGAACUUAAGCAUAUCAAUAAGCGGAGGA